GUAGGAACGUGCACCAAUCUAACUUUCCAGAUAAUGACUGAAAAUUUAAUUUUUAAAUUUAAUGAAGACUAGUCAUACCAGAAACUCCAAUCAACAUCAGCGGCCAGAAACUUAUUAAGAAGAUGAGGUAAUGUCCAAUAUUUACCACAGCCUAAAAUGAUUGCAUUCACCAUCCAAAGAAUGAACAAAUGGAAAGUAAUUUGCGGCUUUCUGUUGUAAGACAACUUAAAAUGAGAAUGGACUUUGAUAAGAUAAUAAAUCACCUAAAGCAAAAUAUAGAACAUGAAAAUCAGACACUUCAUUAUUGUGGCGGGGGAGGCAAGUCAGAGGAGUCACCAUCGGUUGAAGAUGGCGAAGAUGAACCAAUAUCUUGAUUAGGGUAGGCUCCUGGUGGUCUCUCCUGAGGUUUAAUUGAUAGCAACUGGGU
rnacentral:misc_RNA from 1 species